CGCGGCAGCAGCAGCGGCGGCGGUUCGGACCCCCCAUGGUGGCUCUUACCGUCGUAGUAGUAGCACACCUUCUUCUUAGUUCCACCCGCAGCCGUGUACGCCAUGCUGAGACCUCCUCGAUCACCGCAGGAUUCCCAUGGCGCUGGUCGGGGAGGACUCAUCGCUCUGUAGGAGCAUCUCUGACCCAUCGCUGUAUCGACUGAUGUACAGCUGCUUCUGUUCUCCACUCUGCUACCAUCACAAGAUCCAGCACUGACCCUUUCACACUGCCCGUUAUUCCACAUGACCAAGGAGGUCAAGAACAGACACUAACAGCUGCCAGAUGGGACGGGGGAGGCUUCACAGAGCCGAGGUGUCACUUCAUUAGGAGCGAGGCCAUAAAGCUGCGGGGCUGCCGACGCUGCUGAAGCAUCAACAGUGAUGGGCCUCCUCUGAGCUGCAGGGGAAGAAGAGAAACUCUGGGACCAGAGCAGCUGAAAGAAGGGUAUGAUGUGGACUUAAUCCACAGUUUACCCUGUCCUCUUCAUCUGAGGUCUGCACUUUAGGAAAAUACCAAACCAGCAGACAGAGUGGCAUCCUCACUCUAAUGAGCAUUAGUCUUAAGCAACAACACAGCCUGUAAUUGAGUUGUGUUUCAGUUCAAAUUUGCAUGUUUCAAAGAAAAUUCAGAAUAAAACAUUAACCCUUGCUGAUGACGUCACAAUGUAGCAUUUUUUCUUUUUUAUCAACAAACCAAGAAGAAAACUACUGGAGUUCCUCAGAGAUUUAACAAAUCCACAUUUCAAGCAAACUUUAGUUUACGUUAGUCAAACAAUGGACGUUUUCAGCCCAUGAUUGAUGUCCAGAUCCCCAAGAAACAUUUAGAGACUAAAGGUUAUAGAGCUAAGCAUUAUAGAGUGUUGAGGAUUUUUUUCAGUUAGUGUCUAACUGACUGUGAAAUUCUCACAAAGCUGUCAGACAAUAGCUAAGAACCUUUCUUUUUUUCUACUUUUUUUUUUACUUUUCUGGAGCCUGUUCUGGUUGUGAAUCAGAUGUUGGAAUGUUUCAAAUGAAGUCAUAUCCCACAGGUUUCAUUUUGAAAGCGGUUCAUCUUCAUGACCCAAUUCUGGCAAAGACAAUUGAAUGUGCACCUGCACUGUAUCUCAUUUAGGAUCAAGAGCUGAAUAAUUCAUACAUAGUUAUGGACUCAUUAAAGAUGUAUUUAUG